GAUAUCUUAAUCAUUAGUUCCAAAAUUUAGCCCCCAAAUGAAAUUUAUGACUUGAGCAAGACACUCUUCCUCCCUCAAUAACAUCUUUUGUGUCCUUGAAAAAAUGGAAGUAACCAGUAUAAAGGUGAGUAGCACAACUCCAAUCAACAGGACAAAGGUUUCCCUCAUCGCUACCUGUACAUUUCCAGAGAAGAAAUACGGGCUUCAGGAAAAGGUGCUGAGAUUUAUUUUCUGCAUGAGGGAAAUCAAACAGCCGCAAAACUUCAUGAACUAUAUUAAACUGACGUGCCAUCC
rnacentral:lncRNA from 1 species